rnacentral:rRNA from 1 species
CAGUAGCCGCGGUAAUACGAGGGGGGCGAGCGUUGUUCGGAAUUAUUGGGCGUAAAGGGCGCGUAGGCGGUUUGACAAGUCUCAUGUGAAAUCUUCGGGCUCAACUCGAAGUCUGCAUGGGAAACUGUCGGGCUUGAGUAUGGGAGAGGUGAGUGGAAUUUCCGGUGUAGCGGUGAAAUGCGUAGAUAUCGGAAGGAACACCUGUGGCGAAAGCGGCUCACUGGACCAUAACUGACGCUGAGGCGCGAAAGCUAGGGGAGCAAACAGGAUUAGAGACCCCGGUAGUCCCUGUCUCUUAUAC